UGCAGUCGAGCGGUAGAGAGAAGCUUGCUUCUCUUGAGAGCGGCGGACGGGUGAGUAAUGCCUAGGAAUCUGCCUAGUGGUGGGGGAUAACGUUCGGAAACGGGCGCUAAUACCGCAUACGUCCUACGGGAGAAAGCGGGGGAUCUUCGGACCUCGCGCCAUUAGAUGAGCCUAGGUCGGAUUAGCUAGUUGGUGAGGUAAUGGCUCACCAAGGCGACGAUCCGUAACUGGUCUGAGAGGAUGAUCAGUCACACUGGAACUGAGACACGGUCCAGACUCCUACGGGAGGCAGCAGUGGGGAAUAUUGGACAAUGGGCGAAAGCCUGAUCCAGCCAUGCCGCGUGUGUGAAGAAGGUCUUCGGAUUGUAAAGCACUUUAAGUUGGGAGGAAGGGCAGUAACCUAAUACGUUAUUGUUUUGACGUUACCGACAGAAUAAGCACCGGCUAACUUCGUGCCAGCAGCCGCGGUAAUACGAAGGGUGCAAGCGUUAAUCGGAAUUACUGGGCGUAAAGCGCGCGUAGGUGGUUCAGUAAGUUGGAAGUGAAAUCCCCGGGCUCAACCUGGGAACUGCUUUCAAAACUGCUGAGCUAGAGUACGGUAGAGGGU
rnacentral:rRNA from 1 species